GGGGUUAAAUGUUGGACUUCAAACCAGCGAAUCCUCAGGUCAAAUCCCAGCCUGAAUGGAAAAUCACUAAGGGCCCUUGGGCAAGGCUCUUAAUCCCCUAGUUGCUCCAGAUGUGUACUGAGCGCCUUAUAUGGCGGCACCCUCACACUGGGAGAAUGUG